AUUGAACGCUGGCGGCAGGCCUAACACAUGCAAGUCGAGCGGAUGAAGGGAGCUUGCUCCUGUAUUCAGCGGCGGACGGGUGAGUAAUGCCUAGGAAUCUGCCUGGUAGUGGGGGAUAACGUCCGGAAACGGGCGCUAAUACCGCAUACGUCCUGAGGGAGAAAGUGGGGGAUCUUCGGACCUCACGCUCUCAGAUGAGCCUAGGUCGGAUUAGCUAGUUGGUGGGGUAAAGGCCUACCAAGGCGACGAUCCGUAACUGGUCUGAGAGGAUGAUCAGUCACACUGGAACUGAGACACGGUCCAGACUCCUACGGGAGGCAGCAGUGGGGAAUAUUGGACAAUGGGCGAAAGCCUGAUCCAGCCAUGCCGCGUGUGUGAAGAAGGUCUUCGGAUUGUAAAGCACUUUAAGUUGGGAGGAAGGGCAGUAAGUUAAUACCUUGCUGUUUUGACGUUACCAACAGAAUAAGCACCGGCUAACUUCGUG
rnacentral:rRNA from 1 species